CCCGACCCGUAUCCGCAUUCAACUCUCCGGCGACAACAAUAUCUCCGGCACGGGAGCUCCGUCAUUUAUUCCGACCUAAUAGGGUUCCAUGGAUUCCAACUUCAUCAACUGCUGCUUUUCAUAGCUUAACUGAUACUCAUUUACCAAAGCGAAGACCAAGUGACAAACCUAAACGUAAAAGAGCUAGCUUGAGACCUCCAGGUCCAUAUGCAUGGGUAAAAUAUACCCCCGGUGAACCCCUAUAAGUCCAAACAAUCCCAAUGAAGGAAGUGUCAAGCGGAGGAAUGAGAAGAAGAGAAUCGGGCAGAGAAAGGCAUUUAUAUUGGUAUGAUCGUAGAACUGUGACCUUGUGGGGUGAGCUAGCUGAAAAAGAUGGGGAAAUACUACAAAAACUGAUAGAUACAAAACCUGUCGUAGCAUUUUGUGAUGUGAAAGGGUCGACGUAUCAAGGUAAUAUAUCGAAAACUCUUUUUACGUUCACAAUUAAUUCUUUAUCAAUUACAUCUUUACUGAACUUUAUUUUGUGUGUUGUGAGGAUAUCUACCACUCAUAUUAGUAGUGUGUUGAUCAACCCGACAUUUCAAAAAGCAAACAAGUUGCAAAAUUGGCAUGAUUGUUUGAAAGCGCAAAAUAAAGAUAUUACAUUAAUGCCAACUAAGAUGAUUAGAGAAGCCAAAGAAGUGAAGAUCAAAGAUAUCAUAAAUGAUAUCGUUUAAAAAUUGAUGUGUUCGAUGGCGAACGACAUAGCAAUGUUACACUUUUUGACGCUGCAAGAUACUUGCUAGGUUGUGAUGUUAACGAAUACAUCCAAUCAAUCUCUAAAAAUAAAGAAGAAUCAGAGUUUUACCAGAAGAUGAUCUUGAGUAAAUAUAAAGAAUUUACUUUUUUGGUCAAAGUUGACAAGCGAACUCAAGCCAGUAGUGUCAAGAGGAGCUUAAUUGCUGAAGAGAUGCAUGAAGUUGGAACUAUUGCUGCAAUUGAAAUUGAGGAAGACGCAAUAGAGGUGCAGAAAACACACACGAAGAAAACAAGGGAUUGUGGAGACAAAGAAGACCCUCAUUCAAUAAUUUAUAAGAAAAUCAAACGAUUAAAGGAUUAGGGAAAAUCAUUCAAUAAUUUAUAAGACUUUUGUUAUCUUUUUUAUGAGUAGAUUUCCUGUAGUUUUUAUUUAAUUCUCUUAUGCUACUGUAGUAUACUUUCGUUAGUCUAUAAUAUGUUACUAUUUAAGCUUCUUUUGAGAAUUAUAUUUAGUAAUUUGGUCAA